rnacentral:rRNA from 1 species
AUACGGAGGGUGCAAGCGGUACUCGGAAUCACUGGGCGUAAAGCGCGCGCAGGCGGUCUUUUAAGUUGGAUGUGAAAGCCUACGGCUCAACCGUAGAACUGCAUCCAAAACUAUUAGACUAGAGUGUGGGAGAGGAAGAUGGAAUUAGUUGUGUAGGGGUAAAAUCCGUAGAGAUAACUAGGAAUACCAAAAGCGAAGGCAAUCUUCUGGAACACUACUGACGCUGAGGCGCGAAAGCGUGGGGAGCAAACAGGAUUAGAAACCCUAGUAGUCC